rnacentral:pre_miRNA from 1 species
CAAGUACUCCCUCCGUCCAGAAUUACUUGUCAUCAAAAUGGAUGUGUCUAGAACUAAAAUACAUCUAUAUACAUCCAUUUCAAUGACAAGUAUUUUCGGACGGAGGGAGUACAAG